AUUGAACGCUGGCGGCAGGCCUAACACAUGCAAGUCGAGCGGAUGAAGGGAGCUUGCUCCUGGAUUCAGCGGCGGACGGGUGAGUAAUGCCUAGGAAUCUGCCUGGUAGUGGGGGAUAACGUCCGGAAACGGGCGCUAAUACCGCAUACGUCCUGAGGGAGAAAGUGGGGGAUCUUCGGUCCUCACGCUAUCAGAUGAGCCUAGGUCGGAUUAGCUAGUUGGCGGGGUAAAGGCCUACCAAGGCGACGAUCCGUAACUGGUCUGAGAGGAUGAUCAGUCACACUGGAACUGAGACACGGUCCAGACUCCUACGGGAGGCAGCAGUGGGGAAUAUUGGACAAUGGGCGAAAGCCUGAUCCAGCCAUGCCGCGUGUGUGAAGAAGGUCUUCGGAUUGUAAAGCACUUUAAGUUGGGAGGAAGGGCAGUAAGUUAAUACCUUGCUGUUUUGACGUUACCAACAGAAUAAGCACCGGCUAACUUCGUG
rnacentral:rRNA from 1 species